CCUGCCUGCGCGGGGUGCCCGCGGGGCCCGGCCAGCCUGGCUUCUCCGGGAGGAGGGUGCGCCAGGGCUGCCAGCCACGGAGAGGCUUAAAGCAAAUCUGCCUGCAGACCUGGCGGUCUGCUACCGCUGAAAUCCCUAACUAUGCAAAGGUGGGAACAAGGUUUUCUAAUCUCUUUAUUAUUAUUUAUAUUUUUUUCCCCUGGUAUAAGUUACCUAAAAGUUUUGUUGCCACUGUUCGCUAAAUGCCAACAUUAUUUUGUUGCACGAUGCAUGACUUGUCCGUGCCUAAAUAUACCUGUAGAUGCGGAGACGUAUCACGCACACACACACACACAAAGUGAUGAUAUCUUAAUGAAAUAUAUAGCACAGUGCAAAUAUCCUGAAAUCAGAUUCAAGUAUUAUUAAUUUGAAUUAGAUCCUCUCAGAUCCAGAAGACACUGCCUAUAAAUCAAGGGCAGUCUGGCAAUUCCUUAAAGAGCUAAACUGAAUUUAGAUGCAUAUGAUAAAAAGAAAGAAAAAGAAAAAAGUGAAUGCUAAUUACUGACUCGCUUGAUUUCCAGUCACCCACGUUUUAUAUGAGAAAAAAGAAAAAAACCCAACAAAUUACCAACAAGUUCUCAAAAUAAAUUAAUCCCAUCACAAACACCUUACAUAUUGUUCAUACAUUUCCAGAUUACAAAACGAGAGGAUGAACCGGAGAUUAAAAGAAGCUGCAGCCUAACCUGCAAUAGGCAGGAGUGCCGUUGAUAUUAUAUCAUUAAAAUAUAUAUCUGCAGCUACACUAAAAAACAAACCCUUAGACGGUGUGAUGAUGCUCAAGGGCUUUAAGGAACAUGUUGGUAUUGUCAGAUAAUCCCUAUUCAUAAUUUUGCAGACUGUUCUUUCAGCCCUCAAUCUCACAGUUUCUCCAGCUCUGAAGUGCCUCAGCAGGGCUUGCAUCGGAGCGAUAAACUGCUCUGAUCUUCGCAGGAGUGGCAUAACACCCAACCUUAUUAGAUGUUAUUUUAACGUGGUAUGUGAAGGUGUUUUGUUAUUUUUGUGGGGUUUUUUGUUUGUUUGUUUGUUUGUUUGUUUUUUAAUUUUUGGACACUGGACAUAAGCAUUUAGCAAUCAGCUAAGCCCUUCUGAGAUGGAAUUUAACCUUAAUCCAGGCGAUGAUUUCCUGCCCAGCUCUGAACUAAUAACAGGCGUGCAGCUUCUUUAGGAGAUGGAAAUAAUGACAGUCUACAGCUCCUGCCUUUAUUGGGGUGGUGCUGGCAGCCCGGCUCCCAGCCCCUUCACGGUCAGUAUCCCCACGCAGCGCCUAUGCCUUGCUCUGUUUUAAACUUCCACAAAUAAGAUUCCCCCCCCAUCAGUGUAAAACAAACAGACCCAAAAUAUCCUUACAAACCCCAGCUCACUCCUUGUGUAAGGCACCCGGCGCUGUGCCUUGCAGAUGGUUUUAAGGGCAGUUCUCGGGGUGCAGGUUUUCCCUCUUUUCUUCGAGUUCUCCUAUGUGGAAAUGCAGAGAGGUGAUGGGGGCGGCCAGGUGGUCCUGAUGCAAACCUGCCUGAGCAAUGCCAUGGGUGAUGCCACAGGUGAUGCCAGCUGCCUUCGUCCUCCUCAGAGGGUUUCCUUUUGUCCACCAAAACCCAUUGUGGUGGAGAUAACUGCCCCUGGAGAUAAUCCCAUGUCCCCCCCAUCCCUGCAUGGGGCUGUAGGGCCAGGCAGGGGCAAAUCCUGCUGCCAGGGGCUCAUUACCAUGAGAAAGGGGAGAGCCCCCCCGAGUCCCCCCAGGCACCCAGGUGUGAUGGGCAGAGGAGGGGACCGGCCGCCAUGGGGGGCAGCAGGGCGCAGGCCCUGGAGGACAUGGUCUUCUGCUGAGACCUUCUGCCAUCGUGGCUUUGUGGGGACCUGGUGACACGGGCUGGCGGGAUGAUUCACGGCCUUAUUUGUUUCGGUGUGUGUGCUUUUUCCCUGGUGUAGGAUGAGUAACGGGGAGUGUGUUUUCUUGUCCAUGUGGAAGGAGGAAAAUCAGGGGGAUAGCAGCAAAGGUGCUCUAGCUGAUAGGUUUCGACUAAUACAUUUUAGAGGCUGGUGAAGACGGAGGUUUAACACCUCUAAAAAUACGUUAGCUGCUCCGAGGCUUUUACUUUGGGUCCUUCAUAGCCAGGGCUCUCCAACAUUUUCCCCAAAGCGUGGAACUCUUCCUGCAUUAGGGACUAAACAUCCCCAUGCAGGGGACCCAGACGAGAUGCGCUCACUUGCAGCCGAGCCUGGGGAGAGCAUCCCCCCCCAACAGCCCUGCUCCGCCGGGGGAACGGCUGCUGCAAGAUCGGAGCUCCCCGUGGUUGCCGACUGCUUCUCAGGCACAGAUCUCUGGGGUGCAGAAGCUGCCCUCGCCUUGGGAAAAAACUGGGAGGUUGCAAAAAAAACCCAAAACCAACUCAAACCAAACAAAAAAUAUGCCAGGGGAGGAUUAUUUCUGCAGUUACCUGUGGUGGUAGAAGAUAAGACAGGGUGGAAUAAUUUUUCUGAGUGGGGAAAGCCCCAUGUGGCCCCAAGAUGCUGCUGGAUACUUUUGCUCGAUACAGGUGUCCCUAUAAACUAAAAUUUAGAGAGCAAAGCCUUUUAUAUAUAUAUAUUUUUUUUUUCCACAUGGAGUAGAGGGCAUGGAGGAGAGGAAGAAAGGGUCAGGGAACGACUCUACCCCCACCCGCUGAUGAGGUAUUCGGGAAGAAACCUUUUGAAUCAACAUUCCCAAAGUUUUCGAGUUCCUCUGCGGAAAACCCAUGUAGGGAUAGGAUACGAGCCAAAAGCAAGGGAAAAGAUUGUCUGGCUUUAAUUUAUCUAUCCCUGGGCAUUUCUAACAAGCAGAUCACUGUAAUAUUUAAUCUUGUGCGAGUCCCUGCACGUUAAAAGUGAAUCUCCCUCAUACGUUUUUGUUAAUUUUGUCAUUUAUAAAGUCGCUUUCGAUGGCCUAGAGCUGCUCAGCUCUGGUCCGCAACGCACGUCUGUCUGUCUGCGGCAGGAGAACAGCAUCCGCCGGACCCAAACCUGCUUCUCACCCCGAACACGAGAGGAGCGAGUGGCUCUGGCAGCCGGGAGAAGUGGCGGCAGUCGCAUUCUCCCAGGACAAAGACAUGAAGGGGGGUUGAAUUUGUAACAGCAAAAGCCGUAAGCUUGAGCAACACUUGCAGCACGGAAGGCCCAGCUCUGAGCCCCGUGCCCUGACCUGCCAUCGCUUUGGCCAUCAGGGUGGUGGCGAUGGCAUCAAGCUCUUUGCAAAAGGAUGAGUUUGGAAAUGGGUGCAAAAACGCAUGAGGCAGAGUACGGCAAUACCGUUUGGUGUUCAUCCAGUGGGUCCACCAGCCAAUGGGCCUACCACAAGGAGGUGAUGAAUGGGUAUGAUUUCCCAAAUUCUGGACUAGGGAAGAGGAAAAAUGGUCUCCAGAAUAAUUUUGGCAGCCUGGGUUGGGUUGCUGUGGGCAUCGAUGUCCUCAGCUCCCAGAAGUCAGGAAUUGCAACUCUGGGUCCCUAUCCUCUGUGCCAUAAUUUGACUGAACCACUUUCCCACAAGUAAAGACAUUUGCAUGGAUCCAGCAUACUGCACGUAGUAGGACAGUAAUAUUCAUGAUUUGCCUUUAAUUUUGCCUGUGGCAUGGGCAGUAGAUGCCACUGAAGCCAGCAGAGAUGCAAACAGGCCCACCGUGCUCCCCAGAAGAUACCAAGAUAAGGUGGGCAGGGAAUGGGACAUUACAACCACCAGCUGGGGUGGCUGGUCCCGGGGGGAGAGGUUGGACUUGGUGUCAGUCAUCCAGAUGGCAUCCUCCUACCUAUUGCUUGCCUUUACAGGAGUAUAAACUAGACUGAACAUUGCUGCCCCAAAGCGUGAAAGCAAAAUCAGUGAGAUGACCCAGCAUUUGCUACGCAGGUUGCUUUGAUAGCUGUGGGAGCGUGUGAGGAGGCUCAAGGCAGCAAAGUCAACCCUGGGUGACUUUGUAGCUCAUUUAUAUCAACGAAUCUGCUGGGCUGGCUCUCUACAUGCAAGACCUCUUUCCCUACCAAGCAGGGAAAGCGCAGAAGUGGUGGAGCCCAGGCAAAAGAAAACAAACUCAAGCACAGCACAGCCUUGGAUAUGUGCUGUUGGAGCAGGUGAGUGCCUCCGUGAGCUCCUGUGCCACCACCCACCCACCAGCCGUGCAUGGCAGGGCUGUCUCUGCUUAUGCCAAAGCCUGUCUGGUGGUGACACUCAUUUCUGGGAGGACAGGAGCUAUCAGGGAGGUCUGUGUCCAGAAUUUCGGAGAGGGUAGCACUUCAGAGGUCAGAAUCAAGGUGUGAAAAGCCACACCUGAUAUGGAGUGUUGGAAAGUGGACUUGGUUAGAGCUGGGAGCAGUGGAGAAAGCGGCACUGAUCUACACACAAGGAAGGCAAGCUGUCUCUCGUGCCUCAUGGUGAGCAGGGAGAAAUAUAGAGCAGAGAUUGAAAACUGCAAAUAUUUGUUCUCAUUGUCAGAUGUUUCUAUAAAAUCAGUUGUUACUGAAUCACCACUGAAGUUACCGAGCAUUUAAAUAAGCAGAGAGUGAGAAAGCUAAGUCUAAUUAUAUGUUUCAUGCCAUUUACAGAGGUUUCCAGGGGAUUUUCUUUUAAUAAAAGUGCAGUGCAUCAAAAAGAAUAAAUCCUACAAUUUUGUUAUUUACAAAUCAGCUGCUUCUGCCUCAAGCUGACAGACUUAUCCUCCAUCUUGCACCCUUCUUUCCACCCCAAAAUGCACCCAGUACAUUGAUGUUUCUACUAAUAUUCUUCAAGUUCCUACAUACUAUUUUAUGCUCCUUAUGUUGGUAAGCAAAUGGAUCGGAAGAAAAUCAUCACAAAGGCAUAAAAAAAUAUUCUUACAGAAAGAUACAGAGAAAAAGCCCACAGUGUUGGAUAAUGUGCAAUGUAGAUGUUUUCCAGAUGAAGAGAACAAGUGCCUUUUACAUCCCUGCCCACCAAUUCCUGAAGAUUUCGAAUCGGAAGCCUGGCUGGACAUAUGAUGUAAUCAAUUAGUUAAAAUGAUUUACUAACACAAAACACAAAACCUUUCUGAUGAUUAAUUUUAAUCCCCUUCACAUCUUUUCACCGCCACAACUGCUCUGCCCCUUCCGACUCCAGACUAUUUAGCAGUUGACUUUUGCGUUCAGAGCGUUGCAUAUCAAUCCCCAGGACCAAAACAUGCCACUAAUAUUUUCUCUGCUACGUCAUCUAUCGAUGGAGCACCUAACCCUGCAGCCCUUGUCUGUGCUUCAGAGAGGAGCGAGUCGUACCAAACCAGGCCCAUAACUCGCUCCUUGUUGAGGCUAUCGCCCAUUUAGAGGUGAAGAAAAACUGAGAAAACAAAACAUUUGUUCUUGUCCAACUUGGCUGCUGUCAUGAUAAAGGAGCAUGUCGACUGCUUUGGUAAUUAAAAUGCUAUGUGCAAAGGACACCAGAACAACAAAGGAAUGAAAAGAAGAUGGUUUCUCUCAAGUGUGAGCGUACCAUGCACGCGUUACACAGGCUACACACGCUCCAUAAAGGUCUUAGACUUGCCUUGCAACAGCCCUGCCAUUCCGGGAUGGGCCUCUUUCCUGAGCAGACGCUGGCCGUCGAGCCAAAUUGAUGCUUACUAUCCUUCCCAGAUUUCUGUUCACACCUGUACAACUUGCCAUUACAAAGAUGAACCUGGCAAUUUCUGGUAAAUACAACUACUAAUUUUAUCUUGUCUCGCCCUUGAGUGAAAUCCUAUACAUCUUUGGUCAGGGGUGGCUUCCUGAGAAAAGGAUUACACACCGUGAAGCUUCACGUUCUCCUAGACGACUUGAGCAGAAAGGAAGGGGAAGGAUUCCCGCUCCCGUUUAUACUCCUGCAAAGGCAGCGAGGCCAAAUCACGCCAACUGCUUUCAUCUCUUCAUUACUCCAGAAACGCCACACUUUCCAAAAGAAAUUCACUGUUGAUUUAAGGGGGAAAGUGGGACACAAAACAAAUGGGGGUGAUAAUGAAUUGAAGUGAUGAUCUGAGGAGCUCAUAGUGCUUCAUAAGCAUUAAUUAAUUAAGCCUUACUAGAUCCCAGUGAGGUAGGUAUUAUGGCCCAUACUUCAAUCCUGGCUGCGGUGUGCUAUUUCUGUAUCUCAAUAUCAUUUUGUUAAUGUGUAUUCUGAUGAGCGGACUGAAAUGGUGUCUGACUAGUAGAGAUGACUGUGCAUAUAUUUAAGCUGUGAAUGUUCUGCAUGAUGAGCCUUCAUAUGGAAACAACUUUUUUUUUUUUUUU